rnacentral:lncRNA from 1 species
GUCCGCUCCCGCCCCCUCGAAGCCCGGGGCUGGCGGGCUGCAAAGCUUCCAAGCUCCGACCCACUUCCUUUCUUAUUCUCAGGGCUUCCUCGGCUCCGCUGGAACCCGAAGGCAGGGAGAAAUGAGACGGGAGAAAAGAAAAGGAAAGAAAGCAAGCAAAGGAAACACCUAAAAAUGUUUAAAAUCAAAAGCUAGGAGGCGGCCUGCGGAGAGCCAGCGAGGCGGCGCGUCCCGGUCCCUUCCGUUGCCGCGUCCUCCCGCCCGGGAUCAUCCCCAGUCGGCUGCUACGGGCGCGGAGAGCGGCUCAGGCGCUGUGAAGAUGCGAGGAGGUGGGACAAUGAAUUUAUAGCGGCGUGCCAUCCUGCAAUGGCAAUUUCAACAAUUCGUCACUGCACGCUGCCUCUUAAAGGGAGAGCUUCCCCCACCACUCCCACCCUUCCCGGUCCGCGCCUAAUCUGAUGGGGGAGGGAGCAGCGAGAGGAGGAGGGUGAUCGAGGAAAGGCAGACCGGGAAGGAGGAAGGGGCCAGAACCUAGCAAGGUGGAAGGAGGGACAAAGGAGGGAGUAAGGGUGAGAAAGAGAUUGAGAGAGAAAAAGUAUUUGGGCAGAAAACAAGAAAAUUCUCUUGGCCUCAUUUAAAGCCACAGCAACUCCGGUUCUGUGUGGUAUUUCACAACCAAUCGGGGUUGGCUAACCUCGGCUUACCUCAUCUCCUGAAGGGGUGUUUUGGUGUGUUUUUAAAGUCUCUCUCUGCCUCCUUCCCCUUGCUGUUCUUGAGCGGGAUAUGAAGUUCUUGCUUCAUUUUGCCGGCCAGUGCGCUCUGGCCUUGUAGACCUGGUAACUUCACUGGUCAGGGCAGCCGCCUGUGCAACCCCAAGUCCCUCUCUCUUUUCCCUGGUUCUCUCCAGUCGGUCCCGGUAGCUGAUUUCCAGCCUCCUCAUCUCCUAGCUUGUUCACGUUCCAACACUUGCUGACUUCGGGCUAGGGGUGACUAACUUCUCCCGGCCAUCAGCUGAGCAGCCAGGCAGCCACCGGUGCUUCCUGGCGCGUCUCUGGGCAUGCAGCACUGCGGUGACCCCAACAGGGCCGGCUGCGGCCUGGGAAGUCCUUGGCUUUGUGUAUAAAUGGCGGUACUCCCAGCUUUUUUUCCAGGGCAUAGUUGGUCAGUGCCCACAAUCUGUCACUUAUCCCAGCCACUGGAACUCUGAGCUGUAGGAUGUCAGGGUGGGAAAGAGUUAACUCUUGAAGGGGAAUCUGCACCCCCACCCCAGACUUUUACAUUUGUGCUCACACUUUCUGGCAAACACUCCUUUGUUUGUUUACUUGCUACUCUUCUUAUAAGUCAGCCACUCACUGUCAGCCCUCUCAUUUUCAAAGCUCAUAUCCCAGGGAAGAAUACUUGAGGGGAGGUGAUUGGUGGUUAUUAGUAGGCAGGUGGCAUGGCCCCUGCUACUCAGUUCCUCCAUCCUUUGUUUCCUCUAAUUAUCAAUUCUAAGAAGGUGAAAGGAAACCCUAGUGACUUUCUCACAGCAAGUUGACCUGUGCCAGGGUCCAGUACUGGUCUCUGCACACACCCCGGGAUAAUUUACACAUCUCCAUCCCUUUUAACUCCACUCCUUCAGAGGAGAGCAGGCACACUUACAUAGCUUUUUCAGAUGAUACAUUCUCACGGAAGGUACCACGAGGGCCAAGACUGGAGAAGGCCAAACAACAGUUAAAGUAAAAGAGGGCAUGGAUUUGAGAGAGAACAAGGUGUGUGUGGGGUGGACGGGUGGAGGAGUCCGAGAGAGCCUGAAUGGAUCCUGAAAUAUAUCGGGACAUAGAAGGAGGAUGCUGCUGAAAGCACUUGUGUUUCGAUUCUCAAGAUGCUCAGGUAGGUUUCCAGUAGUUAAUAUUACAAGGCAAUGGGCAGGUAGUAAAGGCAGAGAAUGGAGGCACCAGCAAUCUUCUCUGUCUCCCAGCAACCUUCAGCUUUGUGAUGACCCAAGUCACUCCAGGGAAGAUUACCUGGUACCUAUUUGUGUAGUAGUGGUCAGAGUAAGAAUGGCCCCAAUAAGGUCAUAUGAGGUCUCCAGUUGGCGGGAAAGUUUAGGAAGAAUUCGGAGGCGCGGCUUUUUUAGAGGAGGUGCAUCACUCAGGGGAAUCAAGAUGUGAGCUCUCAACUGGUCCUGCCAUCAUGGACUCAAACCCUCUGAAACUGUAAGCUCAAAAGACAUUUUUAAUUUUUAUUAUUUUAUUUUGUCCUAAUCAUGUUAUUUUUUGCCACAGCAAUUGCUAAAUAACCAAGAUAAAACUUUAUUUCUUUUAUAGCACCUCCAGGAGGAAAAAAAAUGCACAGUAUUUCAGUGUUUGGGAUCAAAGGCUCCAAAACAAACUAUAUUUGAAACACGAAACUUACUCAUCUGUGUCUCAAAGGAUCUUUUACAAAACAAGUAUUUCAGGUGACCCUGGGGUAAGGCUAUUAACUGCAAUUCUUUUCAUUUCUGAUCAGGUUCCUUAUGAAGAAGGUUAAAGGAUUCCCCAAUGACUUUGUCCUCCCUGACACCUUUUUUAUCUCUGAAAAAUAAAAUGUUGCUUUCCAAAAGGGACUCAAUCUAAAUCUCAUGCCUUCAUGUCUGAUAAAUGAGUGACAUUAGAAUUCAGACCAAAUAACCAAAUGUUUGGAAAUAUGUUAAGGGCAGAUUUGUUUCAAAAUGUGAGCAUAAAAUAGUAAGUAUUUAUUGGAAGUACUUGUCACAGGGAUGGAGCAGAUAGAGCUUGAGAUACAAUGAGUAAAUUUUUAUUGAAGGAGGGUUUUUUUGUUUGUUUGUUUGUUUGUUUGUUUGCUUUUUUGUGGUUUUUUUUGUGUGUGUGUUUUUGUUAUUUGUUUAUUUGUUUGUUUGUUUUCCUGGCUAUGUAUUCAGUUUUCAUGGAAGGUUCUUGUAACAUUGUAGAAAGUUUGUUACUGAUUGAAACAAAGACACUGCACCAGUGAAUCAGUGCAAUCUGAGAUGUUCUGUAGCAGAAAUGUUUCCAUAUUAAUUUACAGUCAUAUUGAAGUAGGUGAAAAUAACAGUCUUUAUCUUUGAAAUAGGAAGAAAAACUACGUUGUCUACCAUGUUUAGCUGGAGCCAUUGAUUACCUUUUUGCUUUAACAGCUAUUUUUGUACAUAGGUAAUAAGAAUUAUUUUUAAUACAUUUAUUGGAUACAUGAUCCACAAUCAGUUUAUAAACUUUACAUUUCCUCAAAUAAAGAUUUUCUACUG